rnacentral:lncRNA from 1 species
CAAAAAGAAAAUAUUACAUUCAUGAACAACUCAAGGGUUUAGACAGACUGAGGGAAAACUUGGUAGUCUGAACAAAGCUAAACUCAAACUUAUUUUUUAUUCGUUUAGUUAUCUUUUAUUAACAGAUUUCUCUCUCUGGUCAUAACUCACUCACCCUAUUUUUAGGUAUGGUCUGAAUUGCAAGGACACACAUCAGUUGCACAGCUGGAGCAAACAGCUGGGAAGCCUGUCUGGGGAGACAUCUGCCUGAGGUGGCUGGUGAGCCAAGAAUGAGGAGUGGUCACACUUUGCAGCCCAGGCACCUCCUGAGAAUGACAGCCCUCCAGUCAGAUCUAUCCUGAGAGGAACCUAGUGCCUGCCACAGUCCCUUGCAAUGUUGCCUUUGCUGUAAAGAUGAAAAUGAUGGGAAAUAAAUUUUUCCAGAAGAUCUGGUCCAUACGCUGCUGCCCGCCAUGGCUGGAGUCUCGGAUUCAACCAUUGUGUUGGCUGCCUGCUGCCCAGACUGAGGUGGGGUGAACUCAGGACAGAGCCUUGCUUUGGCAUGAAUACCUCUGCCUUCUCUUGCUGACACAUUCCCUCCACCACUCAAGAAUGCACAGAGCCCUUGCCAGGUUGAGAAUGCCUAACUCUGACAGCAGCGUUUGCAAAGUAAAGAGCCUAUUUAUGAAGAUAAUGGCAGUGCCCAGACCAGGCCCACCGUGGGAGAAUCUUGGCUCGUAAUUAGCAAGAACAGUGCAUUUUAAUGAGGAUGCCUGGUAGGCAGUCGGCUCCUGCCUGGACUGCCAACAAAUCUGGGCCAGAGGGAGUGUUGGCAGUGAGGACAAGGAGCAGGUCCUACACCGUGGUCAAGGUGCUUCACAACUUUAGCAGUUCCUGUUGACAUGUAAAUCCAGCUAUCAUCUUAACAGAGAAGAAGGGAUGAUAUAUUCUGGAGCCAAAUAUGCGUGACCACGUAUGAGACCCAUGUUCCGGUGUCAGGAAACCCGGAUGCAGGAGGCCCGGAAGCUGAAGAGAUUUAGAAGACUCACGAAUUCACUCUUAGUAAAGGCACUAGGUUGACAGAUACCAACUGGUACCUGUGUUCCCAUGUUCUGCCUCUCUGUAGGAACUCUGCCCACUGGGGUAUGGGAAAGUCACUCGGGCAGGUGCAAUGGGAGACACUAGACUGCAUUUACCCUCUGCCUGCUAUCAGGUGAUAGGCUAGCUGGAAGCAUCAAUGCACAGCUCAGGUGGUGGGAGAAUGCAGAUGGCGCUGGGAACUCAACCUGAAUGAGAAAUGACACAAACUGAGUCCAAAGCUGGGGUUCCCAAGCUCACGGGCAUCCAGUUGCUGCUGGAAACCACAUGGAAGUCCAAAAAGAAGGGGGCCCGUGGGCUGAGAAUGACGAGCCU